GAUCGUAAUGCAAUGUAUUCUCUUUUCUUGUAUCAGCUAUUUCUUUCUUGUGCACUAGUUUGUAACCUUGGAUACCAUCAGAACGAUCGUUAUUUGCUGUAUGAUAAAUGAUUUGCUAUUUGGUGAAGAAUGACUUGCACAAACGAUGUCAACAUAUUUUACUAGUUAUAAUGCACAUGUCUAUGUACGUGUGUAUCAAAUAAAAUAUCAUAAUAAUUUCGUGUAUAAAUUAUUAUGUUGAAAAUCCAUUUAUUGCUAAUGGCACAUACAAAGACAGAAAACCUAAUUUGAUGCGGACUUGAAAAAUAGUACUUGAGAUAGAAAGGCUAGGAGGAAUGAUAAAAUUAUAUAUAGCCUCGACUUAUAUCUAGUCUGACCUGAUCCGAUUGCCACCUCUAGGACUCAAUUGCUACCAAGUCAAUAGCACCCAUCUCCUUCUGCAACAUCAAUAAAAGAAAUUAUGUGAUUUGUGGGCGCCCUAUUGUAUUGCUCUUUAGAUUAACGAAACCUAUACAUGCUGGCCGAUUAAGCCUAGAAAAUAUUACAGAUAAAAAUGUUCCAAUUAGAGAUCUUCUGAAAAAAAGUAGUGAGGUUAUAAAUCAUAAUCUGGAGGAUGAAAUAAUCAUAACCGAUCAUGAUCUGGCUGACAAAAACUAGAUCGGAUCAGAUACCUUGCCAAAGGCAAUGAUGAUCCUGGAGGAGUCUAUUUAAAUUAGAGGUAAGAUGGACACAGGUUUGUGACUUUCUUUGCAUGUGCCUACCACUAUCAUAGAGCAAAUACCGAUUCCUGUUAUCACUUGCAAUGCAAAUGCUGAAUCUAUUCAUCACGUGUUUGUCACCUGCCCAUUCUCAAUGGAAGUUUGGAAUGCUGUCAGCUUUUGCCUGAAUGCAUCGGUUCCUCCACCCAGGCUGGACUUCUCAUAUCAAAACCGGACUUCACAGUCCUUUCCGGAGGACCAACAGCAAAUCAUCCUCAUGUUCAUCUCCUCUUUUUCAUGGGCCUCGUGGAAAGAAAGAAAUUCUAGGAUUUUCUCGAGGAAAUCUUCUAUACCUGUUUCAGUUGCUCAGAAUGGUCUCAACAUGCUCAAAGAUUGGUCCGUCCUUUAUCAGAGCAAACACCUCAAAGUUUGGACAAAAAUCAAGAACAUCAGCACUAUCUUAAAGGAUUCAUGGUUCCAUAUACAGCUUACUACUUGAAAAAUCCAUCCCUAGCUGUUUGAAGUGGCUGAUCCUCUUUGUUUUUCCUGCAGAGCCUUGAGUUUUCACAACAAGAGAGUGUUCAUCACCUCUCUGGUCUUUCACUACUCUAUCCCUUGGAUGGACCUCUCUUCUCCAUGAGCCUGCUGCUACUUAUUUCUUUUGUUGAUUGUGAGACAACAUUGUUAAAGAAUCACUUUGCCCUAUUCUCUUAUAUAUAGUGCUACGUAAAUAACUUCUUUCAGUAAAAAAUUUGGAUGGCUCUUUUUUAGCCUCCCUUAUCAUCAAAAAAAAAGAAAAAGUUAAAACUUGUUGCAAUCUCAAUUUUACCAUAUUCGCUGAGAAUUUAAUAUCUUGGUGCCUAUAUGUCAACUGAAAUCUUGGAAACUCUUAGUUCUUCCUAAAAUUUCUGCACCUUCUAUUGCUGUUGAGAUAAACACAGAUCUAUGUACAUGACAAUUGAUACGUAUUAAAUUUCUGAUAUCAGCUUGAUAUUACCAUGACCUUCAAUCCCAUUUAAGAAUACAUCCUUGAACUUUGGCUAACUCUUUGGGAAAGAGUUUUAAUGAAAAUGAUGGAAAAAAUAUUGGACACCUCGACCUCAGGCUAUACUGACCUCGACAACCUCGGCCUCGACCGAAGAGAGCAACUUCGGUCCCGAUUGAGGAGCUAACCGAUCAAAGUGAGCAACUUCGUCUCUGACUGAGGAGUCCAUUCAACACGUGCCAUCAGGGACUGACAGUCCUAACAACCGAUGGCCUUGGCAGCCCGUAGUCAUGACAGCACUAUAGUCUGCACCCAACUAGCACUAAGAAUAACUGGAAUUGAACGAGCAAACGGAGGCUGAAAGCAUGCCGUCCACACGGACUAGCUUUCACGCUGCGGCUGUACCAUCGGCCAUUGCCUGGCCGUCUUUGUUCUUCACAUCAGUCCAGAUAACGAAAAAAUACUCUCUUAUAUAAAGGGGCAACUCGAGAGAUCUCAGGAAUGAGGUAGAAAGCCUCUUUUUUAAUGACUCUGUCAAAGUAACAAGACCAUUAUUUCUGACUUUUUGAAGGGGUCCGACCUAAAUCGACUAUCACCCUCGCUUUCCUCAUCUUUGCUUAUGGUGCCGUCUUUUGAAUUAGAAGAAAUGCCAUGCGUUUGAUAACAUAUUACUAUGGAAGUCGAAGAGGGGCAGCUCCUCUUAGACUUCUCAACAGGUAGUCACCCUCAGAAAAGAAAAGGGAAAACAUGCCAAUUUAACAUUUGUGACAUCAAUUGGGGCCUUUGGAUCUAUGAUUUCAAUGAUUUAUAUGUAAGACUAUCAAAAGUUGUGAUGUCUUUCAAAUUUUUGAGUAUAAAAUAACCUCCUAAAUAUUGGAAUUUGCAUGAAUUCCUUUCCAAAAUUGAUAUUUGCAUGUAUACUAUUAUAUAAUACUUGUUUUGCAUGUAUAUCCUUCUGAUCCUUUUCUUUUUUGUAUUUGCACCCACAUCAUCUAAUGCCAUUAAAAAAUUUGUAGUUUAAAAUUGAAAUGACUGAAGUACCUUUAAUGGAUAAAUAUGAAGAAAAAAAUAUUUAUAAGGGUGUAUAUACAAAUAAAAAUUUUAUGAGGGUGUUCAUACAAUUUCACAUAUUUAGGAGGGUAUACACGCCAUAAAAUUCUUAGAUUUUUUUACAUGAAUAUCCUCCUAAAUAUUAAAAUUUGCAUGAAUACCUUCCCAAAAUUAAUAUUAGCAUGGACACUUUGACAUAACAGUUUAGUUGAUAUAAUUAGACAAAAUCAUAUCUAUCUAAAUUAUAAAUUAAUUAAAUUAUGAAAUUACCGCAAAAGUAGGUAACAGGUUAAUGGGUCUUGUUGAGAACUUACCAAUUCCAUUGAACUUCCUAUCUUUGCACGCGAUCGCUCUCUUCCGCUUAAGAUCGCCCUAAUCCCUCUACCUUCUUUGUAAAAUUUUGCAAUCUCUUUCGAUCCCUCUCUUUCACUCUUCCAUCUAGAAUCAAAACCUUUUUCUUGACUCCCUUUACCAUCAACAACCCUUCUCUAUUGACCCCUCUUUUUUUUCUUUUAGUGUGUGAGAUUUGUAAUAUUUAUCUUUUAGAACCAAAAAACUUCUUGUGUGCAAGUAGGUGGCUGAUUUAAAAUUAUUGUAAUAAAAUGAGUCUCAUAGGUCUUUUUCUUCUUUCUGAAAAUCGAAGCUCCAAACAAAAAUAGCUUAAGCAUAAGGGGUGGCCUUUUAUCAUAUGAGUGCAGAGGUUGUUAGUUUGAAGGAUUUUGAAGUCCUUCAAUGGCUUUGCUCGGGGACGAUUAAUAUUUUUCUUCAACCCAUAAGGACAGCAGUAGUAAGAAAGCUUGAUUAUUGCAAUCUAUUGUGUGCCUUUAAGAGAUUCUAAUCUAUUUCUAUAUUCUGAUUUAUACCAUCACAGAUGCAUCUAUAACAAUAAAUAUUACAAGUUGAUUUUCGAUUAAAUGAGACAUAAUGGUUAUUGUAAAUGAUUUAUGGUAUAAAAUACAAUCAUUCGGACAACUGUGUAUGUUCUCGUGUCCAAGAUCCAAUUCGUUUACUAGUUUCUUGGCUUUAUAAGAAGAUGACGGCAAAGUAACACCUUCCGAAAAUGCAUUCUUUAAUAAUUGAAGUGGCAUAGUGAAAGACUUGCUAGACCACCCAUUCAAAUAUUUUAAAUAAAAUAAAUGCAUAAAAAAAGAAAUCUUCAACAAAUUCUUUCCAUGCGGAUAUAGUUUUUGAUCUCAAUCUUUCAUCAAGUUAUGAUACCGAGUUAUGUCAUCAUUAGAUGAAUGUAUAGAUUCCUCAGCAUGCAUACAAUUAGUAAAUGUACACUCAUCACCUAUUGUACCUGCUUCUUGUUCUCCACUGAAAUCUACUAUAUUUUCUAUACCAUGUCCAAGAGCAUAUCUGAGUAAGGCCCUUAUAUCAUCUUCUCCUACAGAAUUUCUUUCCAUGUUACUGGAUCCAAAACUAGAGGUGUUUCUAUAUAGGAGGCUUGGUUACAUGGAGAUGGCAAUAUGGACUCUCCAUGAAAAAUCCAUUCAAUAUAACCCUUUAGAAAACUAUUUCACACCAAAUGUUCUUCAACAGUUUUUGGAGCGAAAGAAGAACAAUUUAUACAUUUUCAACAUGGACAUAAAAUCUUUUCGUUCAUAUUAGAUUUCUCAAAAGCAAAUUUAAUAAAAUUCUGAACUCCAUUCGAAUAUUCUUUGCUGGAUCUCAACUUAUUUAUCCAACUUUGGUCCAUUUUAUUAGAAUACUGAUUGUAUUGCAACUUAUUUACAAAAGAUAAACGAAAUUAAAUAUUUAAUAUUACAUUCCAAAUGAACAACUGGUCUUCUAAGAUAUGAAGGCAGCAAAAGCAUUACCAGAUCCUACAAUACAUGACCUAGACUUGUUUAGUGGUGGAUCCAUGGUGAGAUUGCUCAAGGUAGAAGGUGGACUCAACAUCUCAAAAAAGUUUCACCCUUAGCUAAGCCUACUUGGGAAUCAUGCUGAGAAUACUUCAGAGAUAAUCAAGUUUAUUCCUCUUCAAUAAUAUAUCUAAGAAAGGUCUCUUCUCUAGAUUAUCUUAUUACUCUUCUUAAACAACAUAUUCAUUCAAUUUUGGCAAACAAAAUUAUUAAUCAGGUUUUCUAGCUAUUUUUUUAGAGGGGAAUACGAGCAAUCUAGACAAUUUUCUAUUUUUUUCCAAGAAAUCUCUCCUCAGCGUAUGCGUUGAGGAGAAUGGUGCAAGCCGGCCGAACCAUAUUGCAUCGCACGUAUAAGACCCGAGCAAUGGACUAAUGCGGCAAUCUCAAAUUAAAUGGCUGCUAGUCUCUUUUCAUAAGAUCAGGAUUGUGUUGAGGGCAAGAUUUGUGAAUGAGAAGACCGGAAUACUUUUAAAAAUCUGAAUUGGUGAGCACAUCAAAUCCAGCAAAUGCAUGUGCAACCCAGCAAGAUUCAUCAAGCACACCAAGUGUUAGAUAUCUAGGGGAAGCAGCAACCAUUGUUAAAAUCCAUGCACGAUUUAAGUAAAACUAAAUAUUUGAUCAGUAUUAAAAGCAACAGUCGUUAUUAAAUCAAGUUCCGUGGGGAUGCGAUUAGCAAAAAUUCAACUUUGGUAAACAAAAAUUAUUAAUCCAGAAUUAGAGAGGAAAAUCAUGCAAUGAUAUAAACGAGGCCGCAAUUAAUUUAUAGAGGAGUGGGUUACCUAAGAUCUGUGGGCUGGCUUUCUUUCUCGUCAAUGGAGGAUGACAGUCGGCUAGAGUUUGGAAGAAGACAGUGGAACGGCGGUGGCUAUAGGCAGGGAAGGAGGAUGGAGAAAGAGGAGGAGGAUGCAGCUAUGCUCCGAUAGUGGGUUCUCUGGAGACGGAGGCCGGAGAAGGAGGGGGAGGAUGCAACUAUGCUGGUGGAGGACUCUCUGGAGGAGGAGGAGGAUGAAGCUUUGGGGGAUUACUCUCGGGAGGAGGAGAAGAAGAAGAAGGAGGAGGAUGAGUAGGGCUCGUCGAUUUGGGGCUCCGCUCUCUGGGGUUAGGGAUUUGGGGGGCUUUCGAGGAUUUAUAUCCAUCGUCUUGUUCUUGCUCUUGGAUUCCGAUGGUGUUUAAUUGCGCCGUCUAAUACCACCGACACUUCUGUGUUCUGG
rnacentral:lncRNA from 1 species